rnacentral:tRNA from 1 species
UGCCUGCGUGCACUCACCAGGCACUGGCAAUGUCCACCUAAAUACAUCUAUAUAUUGUUUCUAUGUAAAGAGAUGUGAUGAAUC